AAGGAACCCACGCCGAGCACCCCUCGGAACACGACCCCAGGUCAGGC
rnacentral:rRNA from 1 species